AACAGCCUACGGGACGCAGCAGUGGGGAAUAUUGGACAAUGGGGGAAACCCUGAUCCAGCGACGCCGCGUGAGUGAAGAAGUAUUUCGGUAUGUAAAGCUCUAUCAGCAGGGAAGGAAAUGACGGUACCUGACUAAGAAGCCCCGGCUAACUACGUGCCAGCAGCCGCGGUAAUACGUAGGGGGCAAGCGUUAUCCGGAUUUACUGGGUGUAAAGGGAGCGUAGGUGGCAGGGCAAGUCAGAUGUGAAAACCCGGGGCUCAACUCCGGGAGUGCAUUUGAAACUGUCCAGCUAGAGUGCAGGAGG
rnacentral:rRNA from 1 species